CUUAUAAACUAUCACGACGCCCAAAAAGUCGUGGCUUGGGUUUUGCCAGCUGGCGUGAUCUCCUCUAUGAGUAAUCAUGUGAGGUGCCAGAUCUAUGGCGUUUCCCUAAUGUAUCCGGAUGCACCCUUGUCUUGGCAGAAAGCCGUGGUGAGGUGCAGUGGCGGAAUCGUGGUUUAAUAAUCGGGUUGGUACUCAGUUGUCAGUGUGUUUGGCGAUCCCCUAGUCGGCACACUUAUGAUUUCUGGGAUAAUUCCAUACCAGGCACGUUCCGUCACUGUCACUUUGUUAUUGGUUUGAUGCUGAACUUGGUCAUGUGUCUGAUGCUAUUUUCAUAUAGCGACGGUACCCUUCGUGGUCUGUCUU
rnacentral:misc_RNA from 1 species